GACGAACGCUGGCGGCGUGCUUAACACAUGCAAGUCGAACGGAAAGGCCCUGCUUUUGUGGGGUGCUCGAGUGGCGAACGGGUGAGUAACACGUGAGUAACCUGCCCUUGACUUUGGGAUAACUUCAGGAAACUGGGGCUAAUACCGGAUAGGAGCUCCUGCUGCAUGGUGGGGGUUGGAUAGUUUCGGCGGUUGGGGAUGGACUCGCGGCUUAUCAGCUUGUUGGUGGGGUAGUGGCUUACCAAGGCUUUGACGGGUAGCCGGCCUGAGAGGGUGACCGGCCACAUUGGGACUGAGAUACGGCCCAGACUCCUACGGGAGGCAGCAGUGGGGAAUAUUGCACAAUGGGCGGAAGCCUGAUGCAGCAACGCCGCGUGCGGGAUGACGGCCUGCGGGUUGUAAACCGCUUUCGCCUGUGACGAAGCGUGAGUGACGGUAAUGGGUAAAGAAGCACCGGCUAACUACGUG
rnacentral:rRNA from 1 species